GAUGAACGCUGGCGGCGUGCCUAAUACAUGCAAGUCGAGCGAACGGACGAGAAGCUUGCUUCUCUGAUGUUAGCGGCGGACGGGUGAGUAACACGUGGAUAACCUACCUAUAAGACUGGGAUAACUUCGGGAAACCGUAGCUAAUACCGGAUAAUAUUUUGAACCGCAUGGUUCAAAAGUGAAAGACGGUCUUGCUGUCACUUAUAGAUGGAUCCGCGCUGCAUUAGCUAGUUGGUAAGGUAACGGCUUACCAAGGCAACGAUGCAUAGCCGACCUGAGAGGGUGAUCGGCCACACUGGAACUGAGACACGGUCCAGACUCCUACGGGAGGCAGCAGUAGGGAAUCUUCCGCAAUGGGCGAAAGCCUGACGGAGCAACGCCGCGUGAGUGAUGAAGGUCUUCGGAUCGUAAAGCUCUGUUAGUAGGGAAGAACAGAUGUGUAAGUAACUGUGCACAUCUUGACGGUACCUAAUCAGAAAGCCACGGCUAACUACGUG
rnacentral:rRNA from 1 species